CAGCAGCAGCCACGGUAAUACAGAGGGUGCGAGCGUUAAUCGGAUUUACUGGGCGUAAAGCGUGCGUAGGCGGCUUUUUAAGUCGGAUGUGAAAUCCCUGAGCUUAACUUAGGAAUUGCAUUCGAUACUGGGAAGCUAGAGUAUGGGAGAGGAUGGUAGAAUUCCAGGUGUAGCGGUGAAAUGCGUAGAGAUCUGGAGGAAUACCGAUGGCGAAGGCAGCCAUCUGGCCUAAUACUGACGCUGAGGUACGAAAGCAUGGGGAGCAAACAGGAUUAGAUACCCCCGUAGUCCCUGUCUCUUAUAU
rnacentral:rRNA from 1 species